CCUCCGGGAGGCAGCAGUGGGGAAUAUUGGGCAAUGGGCGCAAGCCUGACCCAGCAACGCCGCGUGAAGGAAGAAGGCUUUCGGGUUGUAAACUUCUUUUGUCAGGGAAGAAGCAAGUGACGGUACCUGACGAAUAAGCCACGGCUAACUACGUGCAAGCAGCCGCGGUACUACGUAGGUGGCAAGCGUUAUCCGGAUGUGAUGGGGGUAUAGGGCGUGUGGGCGGGAAUGGAAGUCAGAUGUGAAAUAUAUGGUCUCAACCCAUGGCCUGCGUUUGAAACUGUAUUCCUUGAGUGCGUGAGAGGCAAUCGGAAUUCCGUGUGUAGCGGUGAAAGGCGUAGAUAUACGGAGGAACACCAGUGGCGAAGGCGGAUUACUGGACAGUAACUGACGCUGAGGCGCGAAAGCGUGGGGAGCAAACAGGAUUAGAUACCCGAGUAGUC
rnacentral:rRNA from 1 species